AACGUAGGUUCCGAGCGUUAUCCGGAUUUACUGGGCGUAAAGCGCGUUCAGGCGGUUUGGCAAGUCGGGCAUGAAAUCUCUCGGCUCAACCGGGAGAGGUUGUCCGAUACUGCUGGACUUGAGGGCAGUAGAGGGUGGUGGAAUUCCGGGUGUAGUGGUGAAAUGCGUAGAUAUCCGGAGGAACACCUGCGGUGUAGACGGCUUACUGGACCAUAACUGACGCUGAGGCACGAAAGCGUGGGUAGCAAACAGG
rnacentral:rRNA from 1 species